rnacentral:rRNA from 1 species
GAUGAACGCUAGCGGCAGGCUUAACACAUGCAAGUCGAGGGGCAGCACGAUGUAGCAAUACAUUGGUGGCGACCGGCGCACGGGUGCGUAACACGUAUGGAACUUGCCCUUUACUGGAGAAUAGCCCGGAGAAAUCCGGAUUAAUACUCCAUAACAAUCGAGGUGGCAUCACUUUGGUUUGAAAGCUCCGGCGGUAAAGGAUGGCCAUGCGCACGAUUAGCUAGUUGGUGAGGUAACGGCUCACCAAGGCUACGAUCGUUAGGGGGCCUGAGAGGGUUAUCCCCCACACUGGUACUGAGACACGGACCAGACUCCUACGGGAGGCAGCAGUGAGGAAUAUUGCGCAAUGGAGGCAACUCUGACGCAGCCAUGCCGCGUGCAGGAAAAGGCGCUACGCGUUGUAAACUGCUUUUAACCGGG